rnacentral:rRNA from 1 species
GUGAGACAGUUCGGUCCCUAUCUGUUGUGGGCGUUAGAAAUUUGAGAGGACCUGCCUCUAGUACGAGAGGACCGGGGUGGACGAACCUCUAGUGUACCUGUUGUGACGCCAGUUGCAUCGCAGGGUAGCUACGUUCGGAUGAGAUAAGCGCUGAAAGCAUCUAAGCACGAAACUCACCUCAAGAUGAGAUUUCUUUUAAGGGUCGUGGAAGACGACCACGUUGAUAGGCCAGGUGUG